UUCGGAAGAGCAGUCGGCACUCUUAACCACUGUGCCAUCUCACCAGCUCGGGGGAAAUCUUUUCUUAACAGUAAUAAUAAUUCUAUAUUAGAGCCUAUAACAAAUGAAUCGUGAUGGUCCAUUUUCAGUAUGAGAUACAUUUUGAGCUUGACAUCAGCAAAUCAAUGCUUUUUUUUUUUUUUUUUUUGGUUUUUCGAGACAAGGUUUCUUUCUCUGUGUAGCCCUGGCUGUCCUGGAACUCACUCUAUAGACCAGGCUGGCCUUGAACUCAGAAAUCUGCCUGCCUCUAAAGAUUUUUGUUUUUGCUUUUUGUUUGUUUGUUUGUUUGUUUUUUUCAAGACAGGGUUUCUCUGUAUAGCCCUGGCUGUCCUGAAACUCACUUUGUAGACCAGGCUGGCCUUGAACUCAGAAAUCCGCCUGCCUCUGUCUCCCAAGUGCUGGGAUUAAAGGCCUGCGCCACCACUGCCUGGCUAUAACCUGAAUGCUUUUAAACUUCUUAGGGUUGAAAAGUUCUGGUCAGCUAUGAGAACAAGUCCAAGGUAUCAGGAGUGGGGAAGAUCUGCACUAUCCUUAGUGCAGAUCUCAAGCCCCAGGAGGGUCGGGAACUUGGGGUGAGCUCUAUGCUAGAUUAGUGGGCAAGUUCCUAACUCCUUGAAGAGCCAGCCUGUGACUCUGAGGGCAGGACAUUUUCGUGUUCAGGGACUACAGAACUCACUCUCUUUCACCAGCCACUGCUGUCUUUUCUGUAGGCUGAUAUCCAACUUUGCAAGGUUGAAAAGUGAACAGCUUCGAUUGUGCUACUCUGAGUCCUUAGGACUCUUAUUGUGAAAUGAGGAUCAUUGAGCGUGAUACACCUUGGGGUUACUAAGGUAGCUCCUUCUAUGACAGCCAAAGGGGUUCUUUUGAGGUUACCUUGUUAAUUGCCCUCAGAGAGGAAUUACCACAUAUCUCCCAACUUCCAUCUUGGAGCUCUCACAGGCAGAGUCAGAGUCAGUUGGCUUCCCUCAGGCUACUUUUGCCUGGUUUCUUGUUGUAGCAUGCUUUUAAAUGUCUCUUGUGAUAGUCAUAACUUUCAUGAAGC
rnacentral:lncRNA from 1 species